CAUUAGCAGGCUUGGAAGCCCUUGA
rnacentral:piRNA from 1 species